UACGUAGGGUCCGAGCGUUGUCCGGAAUUACUGGGCGUAAAGAGCUCGUAGGUGGUUUGUCGCGUUGUCCGUGAAAACUCACAGCUUAACUGUGGGCGUGCGGGCGAUACGGGCAGACUGGAGUACUGCAGGGGAGACUGGAAUUCCUGGUGUAGCGGUGGAAGUGCGCAGAUAUCAGGAGGAACACCGGUGGCGAAGGCGGGUCUCUGGGCAGUAACUGACGCUGAGGAGCGAAAGCGUGGGGAGCGAACAGGA
rnacentral:rRNA from 1 species